CUCACAAACAAAGUCAUAGGUUGACGAAUCUUCUCCCAUACGACUGUCUUCCAACCCCUUUAGAUUCCAACGUUCCCCACAAGAAGUUCCUCAUAAUUUUCUCAAUUUGACUACAAACACACCUUUUGGGAGGAGCCGUCUGCAUGAUAUAGGGAGUUGAUAAUUGGAUCCGAUAAUUGUUGAGCUCCUUUUACGGUUAAAGAAUUGCUCUUCUUCCAUUUGUUUUUGCUCAUUCCUGUCCAACACCGAGGAUAUCGCUCAUCCACUUGGAUUAAGAGUAGCUUUGGAGAAGCAAGCUAAAUCAAAUUCUUUUUAUGUAACUCAGAGGAGUGAAGAUCUCAUAUUUACUUCCUCUUUGACUUACUUUUGUUGCGGACAACAUUAGAUGGAAGGAUUAUGCAGGAGACAAAAUAAGGCAUGAAGGCCAAAACAAAUAUUAGGGAAACUAGUUUGGAGAGCUCUGAAGGAUAAAUUAUUGGUGCUUUUUUGAAGAUAUCAUGUAAAUAUGGUCUAAAACUAUGUUGAAUACUAGAAAAAUAAAAUUUCGUGUUUUUAUUAUCGUUUGUGGUUUACUUCCAAAACAGAAUAUUAAAUUCAAAACAAUUUCAGUUAUAAAGUAUAUAAUAUUUUGCUUUUAA
rnacentral:lncRNA from 1 species